rfam:Operophtera brumata OBRT01_Sc00061, whole genome shotgun sequence.
CACUAGGCCCUAUUCAGGGCCACCAUACCCAAGCUCUAACAUAACG